UUGACUGAGUCUUGAAUAUGUAGAUCAUUGUGACAUAUUGCUGCGCCCUCACAGAAGAUUGUGACAUACAUCUGGCCCCAAACCCAGAACAAGCUGCAAGUGGUGACUCGGACGUGAUCAAGAGGUGACUCGGACGUGAUCAAGAGGUGACUCCGACGUGAUUGCCUUGAAGUUAUGCAUGAAGUAGGAUGACUCACCAAUCUUCGGGGAAUACCGGACUAGAGUGGAUCCCCAUAAAAUGAGUGAAGCCAUAUUAUGAGUUAGAGACUACUGAAAAAGCCUCUCCUGAUGAUGAAGGACCUGUCAUUGGAGAAUCGACCAAAACUGACAGUGAUAACUUGGAAGGCACCUGACAUUACCUGGGGACAGCUAAAGAAACUGGACCAACAGGGAACUAUCUGGGAGCCCCUGCAACUGC
rnacentral:lncRNA from 1 species